rnacentral:rRNA from 1 species
UGGGGAAUUUUGGACAAUGGGCGCAAGCCUGAUCCAGCCAUGCCGCGUGUCUGAAGAAGGCCUUCGGGUUGUAAAGGACUUUUGUCAGGGAAGAAAAGGGCGGGGUUAAUAUCCCUGUCUGAUGACGGUACCUGAAGAAUAAGCACCGGCUAACUACGUGCCAGCAGCCGCGGUAAUACGUAGGGUGCGAGCGUUAAUCGGAAUUACUGGGCGUAAAGCGGGCGCAGACGGUUACUUAAGCAGGAUGUGAAAUCCCCGGGCUCAACCUGGGAACUGCGUUCUGAACUGGGUGACUAGAGUGUGUCAGAGGGAGGUAGAAUUCCACGUGUAGCAGUGAAAUGCGUAGAGAUGUGGAGGAAUACCGAUGGCGAAGGCAGCCUCCUGGGAUAACACUGACGUUCAUGCCCGAAAGCGUGGGUAGCAAACA